rnacentral:lncRNA from 1 species
UAGUUAAAAGAUAGAACAGUCUAGCCAAGUGCCAUGUCUCUUAUUCUUGAUCAGCUAUAGCUCUAGAGUUUUUUUUUGCAGAUUUUCAAAUAAAACUCAGAGAUUCUUUGUAUGAUUCUCUCAUAUCUCUCUUUUGUGGUAUUUCUGGAUCCUUACCAAGGCAGUGAUGGUAUAUGCCUUCUCUCAAGAUAUGUGGUAUUUAUGGUAUAAAGCAUAAUGGCAUUGCCUUCUCUCUCACCCUACUCUAAUAAGGCUUUAAUAUCUAGAGCUCAUAGGUGGGAGAUAAAGUAUACAUACUUACAAGACAUGUAUUGCAUAGUCAAACCAUGGAUCCAAAGAAACAAGUUAAUAAGUUUAAUCAAGAUGUGCAUGUGUGGCGAAUGAAUGGUAUAUGGUGAUGAUGGUGAUAACAAUGGUGAAAGUCUAAUUCUACUUUUGCUCUUUUGAGGGGAUACAUACCUUUCUUGCUUUUUGAAAUUUUAUGAGGAGAAUGAGAUGCUCUUCUUUUUUUCUUUUCUCUCAGGUGGGUAUCUUGUACCCCUAAUUCUACUGUCGGACACUUAUCUAUUUUUACCUCUCGUCUCACUCUUUUUUUUCUUUCGAGGUUCCGGGCACUUGCCCCUUUUUAUUUCCUCGUAUCUCUUUUUUUUCAGAGCACUCAUCUCUUGAGAUAAUAUAGCAAGUGGUAGUAACAAGAUAACUUGAGCAUUUAUUUUAUAGGGGAAAACAGAAAUAUUUUUGGUUAUUCUCUCCCGGGUUAGGAGUAGAAUAUUUUUAGGUGGCUCUGGAGAUGAAAAUGGGUGGAUAUAUGUGGAUGGUACUUCCGGAGUAGAAGUAGCAUGUAUGAGUGAACGUGCAAGUGAAAUCUUGAUUUAACCACAUGACAAGCUCCUAAGGGUCUACACAGCUUGACCACACUCAAUGCUCAUAAGCAGUAAAUAGUAAAUGUGUGGCUCAAAGUCUAGCAAGUAUGUAUAUAUGGUUGUGGUAGGAAUUUAAACUCUCAUCAUACAGGAACUCAUCAUGCAAUAUUUUAAAGAUUUUCAAAGAUAAAAUUCUCCAGAAUUCUAGCAUCUCUAGGAACAGAUAAACAGCAGCUCAACCUUCCUAUAUCAUAUCCGUUAACAAUUUAAACUUCAAAUCAAGUUUUUAUCCCACAAGUUUAGGUCUAGAGCAAGCUUUAAAUUAUAACAGUUAUAUCUAAACUUGAGAGAGAGAACUUAAAAUUUUAAAAUUAGGCAGAGCAACUAUUCAUCAUAUCCAUGCUAGAGCUUUAUUUAGAUACAGAUUAGCAUAGCCACUUUAUUUAUUUAUUAAACACACUAAACAAAAGAUAAAAUCUUUAUUUGGUUUUUCCUGGUUUAUGUAUAUUUAUAUUCUAAAAUAGUAUAAGUAUAAAGAUAGAUAGAUAGAAAUACUUAUCGGGAUAAAUGGGGGUGCUCUCCCCCAAGCUGAAUUUUGACGUAAUUUCUCUUGAUGUAGCUAGCAGGUGGCAGAGGUGUAUUUGAAAGUCGGCAGUAUCCUGACGGCGAUUAGAAUGUCCUCCGUCUGCUAGUCUUCUUGAUUCUUAAAUUCUGUGGAGCUCAAAUAGACAACAAAGCUUGUGGAACUGAUUAAGUGUUAGCAUAAAUAUCUAGCCUUUAUCAUGUUGAGACUCCUCAAUAACUAUUACUCUCUAUUUUUAUAUUUUCAUUUUUAUAAAGCAGAAAAAAUAUUUAUUUUAUUUUUAUGCCACCACAGUGAAUGUACUUAUGGGUUUUAUGCCACUCGUAUACUCACAUGGGGCUUACUGUUUUUCACAUUUUUAUUUUCUUUUUAAGAUAGCGUGAACAUGAUUAACUAAGCAAACUAUUUUAAAUAAUUGAAAGGGAAAUGAAAACUACCAAGUUUACCUCUUGGCAAGGCGUUCGGUGUUUUUAAGUCCUUCGAACGGGACUCUCCUCUUUCUUAAUUGUCCUAGGAUUCCUUGGGUGGCAUAGUCGGUACUUCCGGCGGCGCCUCCUCUUCAUGUAUAGUUGUCUUCUCUUUCCGUACCUGACUUGGUGCUACGGUCUCCUCAGGAUAGUUCUGUUUAAACUCUACGUCUUCUGAUCUUACAACUUCUCCUUCAUAGUCUGCCCAUCCGUCCUUGAUGAUCUGCCUCCUCUGGUUGCGGUUGCGUCGUUUCCUCACCUGCUUAGAUUCUUCAACGAUAUAGUUAGGGUCAGUAAAAUAACGGCGUACCUUUUUUGAGGGGAAGUGCAUAUGGACUUCUCCGGUUCCAAUGUAGAUGAUUGCUUUAACGGUGCUGAGGAACGGUCUUCCAAGGAUGAUGGGUGGAUCGUAUUCAUCUUCUCCGAUGUCAAUAACUUGAAAGUCUGUGUAGACAAAAUGAUCGUCUAUUUUGACUGGGACAUCAGUUACUAUUCCUUUAACUUCUCGAAACGUCUAAUCUGCCAUCUGGAGCUAAGUGUAUGUUGGUCUUAGGGGCAUGGUCCCGAACAAGAGCCGAUAGGUGACUGCGGCCAUUAUGUUGACGCCCGAUCCGGUGUCGCAAAAUGUCUUGUAGAAGUUGUAUCUAUUUAUGGAGCAGUAGAUGCUUGGCAUUCCUGGGUCGUCCUUCUUGGUUAAAAACGGUGACUUAAGUUGAUGAUCUUGGCCUCCAUGAACUGCAGUGACCAUCUUAGCUGAUUCGGUCCACACUUGCUUGUUCCUGUUCCUCCUGUUGGUCCUCUUUCUUGAUUCACGUCUGGAUUGAUCUGGGAUUUGUGUAGUCUUGUUCUUGAAGCAAAACGUCUCCUUCCUUCCUUUGAUGUAGAAACUGAUCUUGGCAGCACUAGCGU